GUCUACCAUUCUUUUUGGCGACGGUCCACUGUUCCCCCUCUGAUCAGCGCAGCGAAGCCCGCGACAGCCCAGUCAGUACUAGCGUGAGAGAUCAGCUGGGGAAUUUGGGUGCUGUAGUUU
rnacentral:rRNA from 1 species